GGCAACCCGCUGAGGUCAAGCUUCGUUUUUUUUGCUUUUUACAAUAAGUGUUGCUACUGCUCAGUCUUUGAGUCCACGCUACUUUUAUGAGCUGUAACACUCACUACAAAGGUCUGCAGCUUCACUCUUGAAGCCAGCGAGACCACUGAGCUCACCGGGAGGAACAAACAACUCCGGACGCACUGUCUUAAGAGCUAUAACACCGCCAAGGUCUGCAUCUUCACUUCUGAGCCAGCGAGACCACGAACCCACCAGAAGGAAGAAACUCGGAACACAUCUGAAUAUCAGAAGGAACAGACUCCAGACGCGCCACCUCAAGAGCUGUAACACUCACGGCGAGGGUCCGCGGCUUCAUUCUUGAGGUCAGUGAGACCGAGAACCGACCAAUUCCGGACACAAUAGUUUAAAACAAGCAGGUUCUAUAUGCAAACCCUUCACCAAUUUUUCAAUUGCCCUUUAAUUGCAAAUUGUUUUCAAAGAAGGCUUUAACCUGGUGGCUCUUUCAUUGGUUCCUUCUGUUCCUGAGCAUCCUGUGAACAUGUAGACCGUUCACAUAUUCAUUUUUAAGCUAAAAAUAUUGAAUUUCAGGAAAGGCCUAGCGAAUUUGGGAAAAUGUAAGUAAGGUAGAAUCCAGUUUAUGGGAUAAUUUUUGGAUGCGAGAAUACUUUUAAACCUUCACUUAUGAUUGUUAUUGCACAAACGAGAUUGGUCUGCCCUAGCAAGUCUCACCGAGGUUUUGCAACAUAUUUACAAGUACAAAUCUGUGUGGCAAAGAGUACUUUUUGUACUAUGGGCAGCUUUGAUAACAAGCGGAGGUAGGAGGAACUCAAUUUAGCCCUAUCUGUAGUGCCUUCACAAAGAAAGCUCUUGCUCUUUGCCUUAACCUUCCCCACGUUCAAUAUAAGAUAGAAAAAGGAAAGAAAGAUUUACCUUGUACAGGCCUUUCAGAAGAUAGACUGCGGAAUUACAGAAUGCCUAAUGAGAAGCACAAUUCUUUUCUCAGUGGUUUGUUGCUAAGAAGGAUCCAUUGUUCAUUUUGUUGGAAGAUAUGAGAUGCUUUUGACUACAUCAGAUCUAUUUAAUACAUGACCUUUUCAGUGAUUUCAGCAGUAGAUACUCCUAAAGCAUUAUGAGACAUCUUCCAUAAACAUUUUUUCUCCCCAAAUCAGUUUUUAGAGUACUUUAUGUAUCUGUUACGACAUCCCUAGUUUCAUAAAAGUAUAUAAUAUCAGUGAUCCAGCUGGUUAGAACCAUCAGUACUUCACUUUUGAUGAAUUAUUUUUUAGUCCCUUUCUAUUCUUUUUAUCCCCCACCUCAAAGGAACUUUCACAUGAUAGGUACUCAGCAGAUGAAGGAAUGCCCUGUAUGGUAGCGUAGUUGAACAUGACAUGUCAAUGAAGUAUUUAAGAUGAUUCAGAGAGGUCUCUCUGGAUGACAUGCUCAAGGUAGGUGAGGUCCUUGGUAUAACGGAGAUCUCAACCUGUAUCUAAUGUGGUGAAGGGUAACACGGGACCAUGGAGAGGGUAACACGGGACCAUGGAGAGGGUAACACGGGACCAUGGAGAGGGUAACAUGGGACCGUGAGGCACCAAGAGGCAGACUGCACUCCAUGACCCUGCUGCCUGUUGACAUGCUGGGACAGGGAGGACCUAAAAACUCCAUGUUCUCGGCUGGGCACGGUGGCUCACAGCUGUAAUCCCAGCACUCUGGGAGGCCGAGGUGGGCAGAUCACCUGAGGUCAGGAGCUCGAGACCAGCCUGGCCAACAUGGUGAAAUUCCCUCUCUACUAAAAAUACAAAAAUUAGCCAGGCGUGCCUGGGUGACAGAGUGAGACUCUGUCUCAAAAGAAAAAUGAAAACAAAAAACUCUCGAGAUCACUCUAGAAUUAGUUCUAUUUUUUCCUGGAUUUUUAACCUAUAACAUUGUUUUCUCUGAAAUUUUAUUUAUUUCAUUAUAUAUUCAUGUUUAUAUUUUAUAGUUUUUUUCAUCCAGGCAUGAAUGAACUAAUUUAUUCAACAGGUAUAUAUAUAUAUAAAAUGUACCUACCAUGCUAUGAGAUGGAAGGUCUGUUGAUUUCGUUAACAACUAAAAGGUAUAUUUGAUUCAUGUGGUAGUCUAGACCCAUGCUUGUAUCUAUGCAUGAGCUAUUUGUUUGUUCGCAUAUUUAUUUAGUUUUAGUUGUCUGUAUGGGAAUUCAUAAUUGGCUUGAGGGCAGAAGCUGGUGUUCUGCUUACCUCUGUAUCAUAAGAUCACGUAGAUAGUAGGUGAUUAAUAAAUGUUGAAAUAACGUUAAACAAAUUACACCAACUUUCUUAAUGGAAUUGAGACAAAUUAUAAUUAAAAGGUUUAUCCCAUCAGUAUCAAAUUCAAAGUAUCUGGGAAAAUCUUGCAGAAGAAAUCGGGAAAGAUAUUAAGAUGUAGUUAGUGCAAAUUUAGGCUAUAAAUUAGACUCUGAGCUUCCUGAUAGCCAGAGUAGGAGGAAAAUUUGCCAAGGUACAUUGGAAACAGUGAUAGGUCCUAUAUUUUUAUUUUAUUCUAUUCUAUUCUAUUCUAUUCUAUUCUAUUCUAUUCUACCCUAUUCUACCCUACCCUACCCUACCCUACCCUACCCUACCCUACCCUACCCUACCCUACCCU
rnacentral:lncRNA from 1 species